rnacentral:sRNA from 1 species
GCCGUGAGGUGUUGGGUUAAGUCCCGCAACGAGCGCAACCCCUAUCGUGUGUUGUAUCACUCACACGAGACUGCCGAGAGAAACUCGGAGGAAGGUGGGGAUGACGUCAAGUCAGCAUGGCCCUUACGUCCUGGGCUACACCCACGCUACAAUGGCCGGUACAACGGGCGGCGAAACCGCGAGGUGGAGCGAAUCCCUUAAAGCCGGUCUCAGUUCGGAUUGUAGGCUGCAACUCGCCUACAUGAAGCCGGAGUUGCUAGUAACCGCCGGUCAGCAUACGGCGGUGAAUAUGUUCCCGGGCCUUGUACACACCGCCCGUCACGUCAUGAAAGCUGGCAACACCCGAAGCCGGUGCGCCAACCGCAAGGAGGCAGCCGUCGAAGGUGGGGUCGGUGAUUGGGACGAAGUCGUAACAAGGUAGCCGUACCGGAAGGUGCGGCUGGAUCACCUCCUUUCUAGGGAGAUCCGAGUCCCGACCCGCGGUGGGAUCGGGGCGUUGAAGGCUCCUACGGUUGAUCGCAUGGUCGUUCGCUUUCUCAGUCAGGUGGGAGGCGUCGGGGUCCGCAAGGACGCCGGAGACCAAGGCGACCUGGCAAACGACCACCGAAACCGUCUCUCACAUCUAGGUUCCCAACGUUUCCUGCCACUCUUCACGGGUCAAGGGUGCCGCGCCCAAGUCGUCGACAUCGGUCGGCGGCGCCGGAUCGGCGACGACCCGGCGGGCGUUUAGCUCAGCUGGUUAGAGCACUGCCCUGAUAAGGCAGAGGUCUCUGGUUCGAGUCCAGAAACGCCCACCACCUCCCGUCGUGGGAGCGCGGGGACGUAGUUCAGCUGGUAGAGCAUCUCCUUUGCAAGGAGAGGGUCAGGAGUUCGAGUCUCCUCGUCUCCACCAUCUCCGUCUGCCGGCCGCACCUUCCCCCAUGGAGCUCCAACGCUCCACUGCUCCGUGCCCUCCCCCGCGGGAGGCCACCGACCAGCGGACCGCUGGCGAGGAUCGAUCUCGAUCGAGACCCGGAGGUCCUUCGGGGCCGCACCUUACCAACUGGAUAUAUGUAUCGGCAAAUAGAAGAAGUCUUUUGAUCUUCGAUUUCGCCGUGUUGUCUAGGAAAUAUCCCGAUUCCCGCACGCCGAUGACCACUGGGUCAGCGGCUGGAGGGGGUCAAGCUACACAGGGCACGAGGUGGAUGCCUUGGCGCCAAGAGCCGAUGAAGGACGUGGCAGGCUGCGAAAAGCUCCGGGGAGUCGCGAGCAGACGUUAUAUCCGGAGAUGU